AAUGAUCAAGUGUCAAAAGGGCAUUUGGUGGAUGCCUUGGCAUGCACAGGCGAUGAAGGACGUGAUACGCUGCGAUAAGCCGUGGGGAGCUGCGAAUAAGCUUUGAUCCGCGGAUUUCCGAAUGGGGAAACCCACCUCUGGUACUGGAAGAUCGGAAUUGGUCUGGUGGAGCGAUCCGCCGGACCGGUUGCGGUUUCCAGUAUCGAGAAGAGGUAUCUAACUCUGAAUACAUAGGGGUUAGAAGCGAACGCGGGGAACUGAAACAUCUCAGUACCUGCAGGAAAGGACAUCAACCGAGACUCUGCUAGUAGCGGCGAGCGAACGCGGACCAGGCCAGUGGCGAUUUGAAGAAGAAGCGGAACACGUUGGAAAGCGUGGCAAGAGUGGGUGACAGCCCCGUACGCAUAAUGUCUUCUUAUCGUCCUCGAGUAGGGCGGGGCACGUGAAACCCUGUCUGAAAUUGGGGGGACCACCCUCCAAGCCUAAGUACUCGUGCAUGACCGAUAGCGAACCAGUACCGUGAGGGAAAGGUGAAAAGCACCCCGACAAGGGGAGUGAAAGAGAACCUGAAACCGAAUGCCUACAAACAGUGGAAGCCUGAAAUGGUGACCACGUACCUUUUGUAUAAUGGGUCAGCGACUUAGUCUGGCGAGCAAGCUUAAGCCGAUAGGUGGAGGCGUAGCGAAAGCGAGUCUGAACAGGGCGUUCAGUUCGUCGGAUUAGACCCGAAACCGAGUGAUCUAGCCAUGAGCAGGUUGAAGGUGCGGUAACACGCACUGAAGGACCGAACCCGCAUCUGUUGCAAUAGAUUGGGAUGACUUGUGGCUAGGGGUGAAAGGCCAAUCAAACUCGGAAAUAGCUGGUUCUCCGCGAAAUCUAUUUAGGUAGAGCGUCGGAUGAAUACUCCAGGGGGUAGAGCACUGGAUGGGCUAGGGGGACUUACCGUCCUACCAAACCUAACCAAACUCCGAAUACCUGGAAGUACUAUCCGGCAGACACACGGCGGGUGCUAACGUCCGUCGUGGAGAGGGCAACAACCCUGACCACCAGCUAAGGUCCCCAAGUCACGGCUAAGUGGGAAAGGAUGUGAGGUUUCCAAAACAACCAGGAUGUUGGCUUAGAAGCAGCCAUCAUUUAAAGAAAGCGUAACAGCUCACUGGUCUAAUAGAGACUUUGCGCCGAAAAUGUAACGGGGCUCAAGCCGUGCACCGAAGCUGUGGGCUUGUCUUUGACAAGCGGUAGCGGAGCGUUCUCUAGGCUGAUGAAGCGGGAUCCGUGAGGACCCGUGGAGGUAUGAGAAGUGCGAAUGCUGACAUGAGUAACGAUAAAGGGAGUGAGAGACUCCCUCGCCGAAAGUCCAAGGGUUCCUGCUUAAAGUUAAUCUGAGCAGGGUUAGCCGGCCCCUAAGGCGAGGCCGAAAGGCGUAGUCGAUGGGAACCACGUUAACAAUCGUGGGCCUGGUGGGAAGUGACGGAUUGCGUAUGUCGUAAGGUCUUAUUGGAUUGAUCUUGCGGCGAAGCGGUCCCGGGAAAUAGCCCCACCGUAUAGACCGUACCCGAAACCGACACAGGUGGACUGGUAGAGUAUACCAAGGCGCUUGAGAGAACUCUGCUGAAGGAACUCGGCAAAUUGCACGCGUAACUUCGGAAGAAGCGUGACCUUGCAUCGGGCAACCGGUGUGAGGUGGCACAGACCAGGGGGUAGCGACUGUUUACCAAAAACACAGGGCUCU
rnacentral:rRNA from 1 species